rnacentral:lncRNA from 1 species
GUUAGUAAUAAUAAAGUAAAGAAAGUCCUCUUGAAUAUUAUUUGUAGCAAAUUUGAACAUUAGGAGAAUAAUCACAAGAAUUAUCUUGCAAGAUUGAAGUAGGGUGCAAGUGUAGCACCAAAAGGUAUGUAUAUGAUACAGACCUAUUUUUCAUUGAAUGGCUCAGACUCUGAUACUUGGGUAUUGGAUACCAUCUAUAGAUCGCAUAUUUAUAAUUCAUUACAACGACUACAAAAUAUCAAAGGUACGAA